AGUGCGUGCGCGGGGCAUGCCGGGAGUGGUUGUGUACGGUCGGCAGCAGCAGGUGAAGUCUAGCAGAGGACGCGGCCAGGCGAUUCGGUGAAGCGCUUACUGCAGGCGUUGGUUCCCCUCUUUGUCCUGUUAAUAAAUCAUGCUUUGAAAGAACUCAUGGAAAUAGAAGAAGUGAGUGAAAAUGUAUUACAAGUUCACUUAAAUGGACUGCUGCAGAUCAAUGACAAAAUCGCCCUAAAGGAAAUCACAAGGCAGUUAAAUCUGGAAAAUGUAGUUGGAGAUAAAGUUUUUGGAAGCUUUGCUGAAAACCUUUCAUUUCUUCUGGAAGCUUUAAAAAAAGGUGACCGAACUAGCAGUUGCCCAGUGGUCUUCAUAUUAGAUGAAUUUGAUCUUUUUGCUCAUCAUAAAAACCAAACACUUCUCUAUAAUCUUUUUGACAUUUCUCAGUCUGCACAGACCCCAGUAGCAGUUAUUGGUCUUACAUGUAGAUUGGAUAUUUUGGAACUCUUAGAAAAAAGAGUGAAGUCA
rnacentral:sRNA from 1 species